rnacentral:rRNA from 1 species
GUGGGGAAUCUUCCGCAAUGGACGAAAGUCUGACGGAGCAACGCCGCGUGAGUGAUGAAGGUCUUCGGAUUGUAAAGCUCUGUUAAUCGGGACGAAAGAGCCUAGUGUGAAUAAUGCUAGGAAGUGACGGUACCGGAAUAGAAAGCCACGGCUAACUACGUGCCAGCAGCCGCGGUAACACGUAGGUGGCAAGCGUUGUCCGGAAUUAUUGGGCGUAAAGCGCGCGCAGGCGGAUCUGCCAGUCUGUCUUAAAAGUUCGGGGCUUAACCCCGUGAUGGGAUGGAAACUACAGAUCUAGAGUAUCGGAGAGGAAAGUGGAAUUCCUAGUGUAGCGGUGAAAUGCGUAGAUAUUAGGAAGAACACCAGUGGCGAAGGCGACUUUCUGGACGAUGUCUGACGCUGAGGCGCGAAAGCUAGGGGAGCGAACGGGAUUAGAUACCCCGGUAGUCC